GACGAACGCUGGCGGCGUGCUUAACACAUGCAAGUCGAACGGAAAGGCCCUGCUUUUGUGGGGUGCUCGAGUGGCGAACGGGUGAGUAACACGUGAGUAACCUGCCCUUGACUUUGGGAUAACUUCAGGAAACUGGGGCUCAUACCGCGUAUGAUCUCCUGCUCCAUGGUGUGGGUUGGAAAGUGUCGGCGGUUGUGUAUGGUCUCGCUGCUUAUCGGCUUCUUGGUCGGGUAGUUGCUUUCCAAGGGUUUGACGGGUAGCCUGCAUGAGAGGGUUACCGGCCACAUUGGGCCUGAGAUACGGACCAGAAGCGUACGGGAGGCAGCAGUCGGAAAUAUUGCACAGUGGGCGGAAGCCUGAUGCAGAAACGUCGCGUGCGGGAUGACGGCCUUCGGGUUGUAAACCGAUUUCGACUGUGACGAAGCGGGAGUGACGGUAAUGGGUAAAGAAGCAACGGCUAACUACGUG
rnacentral:rRNA from 1 species